GACGAACGCUGGCGGCGUGCCUGAUACAUGCAAGUCGAGCGGACAGAAGGGAGCUUGCUCCCGGAAGUUAGCGGCGGACGGGUGAGUAACACGUGGGCAACCUACCCUGUAGAUCGGGAUAACAUCGAGAAAUCGGUGCUAAUACCGGAUAAUCAUUUGAAGUGCAUGCUUCGAAUGUAAAAGAUGGCUCCGGCUAUCACUACGGGAUGGGCCCGCGGCGCAUUAGCUAGUUGGUAAGGUAAUGGCUUACCAAGGCAACGAUGCGUAGCCGACCUGAGAGGGUGAUCGGCCACACUGGGACUGAGACACGGCCCAGACUCCUACGGGAGGCAGCAGUAGGGAAUCUUCCGCAAUGGACGAAAGUCUGACGGAGCAACGCCGCGUGAGUGAUGAAGGUUUUCGGAUCGUAAAGCUCUGUUGUUAGGGAAGAACAAGUGCCGUUUGAAUAGGGCGGCACCUUGACGGUACCUAACCAGAAAGCCACGGCUAACUACGUGCCAGCCGCCGCAGUAACAC
rnacentral:rRNA from 1 species